ACCAUCAGCUGCUCGUCCCUCUCUAUUCUCUAUCGUUUUCUUCUUUCAGACAAAUUCCAGGACCUUUAGCCAUGGACAGAGCUCAACCUCUCCAUUUUCAUGCAAGCCUCAUCUCUUUCUUCUGAAAAUUGCCAGAUGCUCUCUUCCUCUCCCUCAUUUACAUCUCUCUUCUUUAAUUUGGUCAACACAAGAGGCCAAAAAUGCUUCUGAAGUCUCUGAUGGAGAAUUACUUUGGCUGAUUUCUUUUUGAAUUUCAAAUGGAUAGCUCUUGUUGAUUUCCUCCCAAAGAACCUUGGCAAACCUUUGCUUUUUACUCCUAAAAAUAGAAAAAAGCUGUUUUACCCCGCACCACACCCCGAAACCAUUGUUUUAUGCUUGAUUUAUUCCUCUUGGACAAACUUCUCUGUCUCUACUUAGUAUUAGUGGUAACAUAGGCCUUAUUACACUCUGUUUGAAAUCGUUUUGUUGGCAAAAAGAGCUUAAAUAAGAGAUUUCGAGUGGCCAUUCAAAAUUCGUCCCAGUUCAGUGCCCUGCAAUAGGUCCGAGCACCAGUUAUCGGCGCUGAUUAUAGCCAAUUGCAGUCUACACUAGAGACGAGGGUGAGCAGUUGGUGUUUUGGGAUCUUCCUGUCUCUAUCUGUAUAUAUAUUGGACUGACUUUUACUUUUUGAGACAACUUUUGUUUUCGUGGUCCACUUUUGGGACUUGUAUCAGUAUUGUGUAGUAGCUCUGUACUUAUGACUUCCAAGUUCUAUGAGAGAUCUUAUAUUUUGUUGUUUAUAGUUA